rnacentral:lncRNA from 1 species
GGACAUAACCUCAAAAACACAUAGUCUUAGUGGAGUUGCCUUAUAAAGGUCAAUUAGUAGAAGAUUCAAACGGCUAUUAUUCUUUUACUAGUUUGAGAUCAAACCCUGGCAGCUUCACUCAGAAGAAUGAAAGGAACUUCUGAACUCUACACUCCCCAAGAGUCUGACCUCCUUGGUCUAAAAAAGAAGUCAUUUUUGAAAAUGGAUAUUGAUAAUCUAAGUCAAAGGAAUACAAGAUACCAAAUUUCUUUGCUGUGGCUAACAUAACUGAUGUUCCCCAGAACGGCCAUAUUGUUGGAAGUUGUGUUUUGCCUCAAACAGAGAUGGGCGAGAUAAGUUAACUUAAAUGAUGAGCAUCCAUUUGGUUGACAAUUGUGUUCCCUGCCAUCAUUAACAAUAAAAAUGGAUAUCCAAUUCUAAGUUCCUACUCU